rnacentral:rRNA from 1 species
CGUCAGCUCGUGUCGUGAGAUGUUGGGUUAAGUCCCGCAACGAGCGCAACCCUCGACCUUAGUUGCCAGCAUUCAGUUGGGCACUCUAAGGUGACUGCCGGCUAAAAGUCGGAGGAAGUGGGGAUGACGUCAAAUCAUCAUGCCCCUUAUGACCUGGGCUACACACGUGCUACAAUGGGCGGUACAAAGGGUCGCGAACCCGCGAGGGGGAGCCAAUCCCAAAAAGCCGCUCUCAGUUCGGAUUGCAGGCUGCAACUCGCCUGCAUGAAGCCGGAAUCGCUAGUAAUCGCGGAUCAGCAUGCCGCGGUGAAUACGUUCCCGGGCCUU